rnacentral:lncRNA from 1 species
ACCAGUGAGGCUGAGGUUUCUCUUUCUUUCUUCCUUUCUCCAGGUUUUCUUUGGGGCCCUGGAGCAGCAGCAGUGGUUUGCUUUUCACUGAAGACACACACACUGUGAACAUAUGAUGGGAAGAUGUCAGGCGGUAGCAGAAGGAAUGGGGGAGACUUCCUUGGGUUUAUAAAUGACUGCAUUUCCCUUCGGCAUGACAGCUGCAGCUUCACCUCUUCUCGUGUGAACCUGGAGUCAGCCCUGAACUCUGCUCCUGAGUCUUUGGUGCUCUGUAAUUUCCACUUUUUCCUGAUGUAAAAUAGAGGAUGAAGACAGCAAUUGAAACAAUUGCAGUAGAGAAGGUUUUCAACCUUUGCCUCUGCUUG